CUCUCGGUUGGUUUCUGUUUGGCUGGUAUUGUUGCCAUAGGAGACAGUCCAUGUAGAACCCUUUCCAGGCCCGACUGCUACAAGAACAGCACAAAAGCAGACGAGGAUUUUAGAUGUGAGUGGACUUCAGAGGAGGACACGAGAGGACUUUCAUAUACACUUCACCUGAGGAAAGAAACAGAAAAUGAUACUAAAGAUUUUCCUGUUGGUGAGGAGAAGGGCGUUAUUCUGGAACUGGAGCGUGUGAGUACCUGGAUAGACAUUCUCCUGCAUGUCUGGGUGUCUGCUCAAUGGGCCAACAGUAGCUGCUCCUCCACUAUCAGCACAGUACGACUUGACCAGGCAGUUAAAUAUCCAGCGCCUGAGGUAAGAAUGAGAUCGAGAUCCUCUGGACUGCUGUUCCUGGAGUGGGACAAGCCUGAAGACCGCAGGGGGUCCGACUAUGAAGUCAGAUAUAAGGAGACUGGACACCCUAGCAGCACCUGGUCAUGUAAAAACUUUACAACAGAAGAUGACAAACCAGAUUCCUUAAACAUGAGCGUGGCGAGGGAAGCUGCCUACAAGCUCCAGGCCCGACGCAGGGCUAAGGAGGUCAGAUACGCAGAAUGGAGUGGUUGGAGCUCACCAAUCUACAUGCCUUUACGUGAGUCUGCCCAACAACAAUAAUAAUUUGAAUUUGAAGAGGGCAAAAUAACAUAAUAAUAAUUUGAAUUGUUUAAAAUUCUCAUUUUAAUUUGAAUAACCUUGUUUGAAGAGAACCUUUAAUGCAGCAGAGACCACAGUUUGAUGAGAAAGUACACUGAAUGAUUGUAUUUUAAAAGAUAACAGAAAGAUAAAAGAAAAGAUAACAGAAAGAUAACAUAAGCACUUCC